rnacentral:rRNA from 1 species
GAUCCUGGCUCAGAUUGAACGCUGGCGGCAGGCCUAACACAUGCAAGUCGAGCGGAUGAAGAGAGCUUGCUCUCUGAUUCAGCGGCGGACGGGUGAGUAAUGCCUAGGAAUCUGCCUGAUAGUGGGGGACAACGUUUCGAAAGGAACGCUAAUACCGCAUACGUCCGUACGGGAGAAAGCGAGGGGUACCGUCGGUCUGCGCUAUCAGAUGACGCCGUAGGUCGGAUUAGCUAGUUGG